AUAAAGAGAAAAUUGUAAAGCUAAGACUGUAACAUAUAAGAAGAUGAUCAGAAGAAUACACGCAUUUAAAAUAUUAUAUUUAUAAACAAUUAUACAAAACAUCAUGAACAAUUAAAAUAACAUAAAUACCAUAUACCGAGGAAAGUUCUUAACGGAAAGUCCCUCACAUAUAUCAGAACCAAAAGAUCAAACACAUCAACCAAAUGGAUAACAACGGUUAUAUUCCUGCCUUGGUACAGGCAUUUCCUCAUGUCAACCUGUCAACCUGUUAGCCUUAACUCUUUUCAACCUGUCGACUAUACAUUUGUCAUCCUGUCAUUAUGUCGACCUUUCAACAUAUCGACCUUAAAACUAGUCAACCUGUCGACUUGUACACUUGCCGGCCUUUCUAAUGUCAACCUGUUGACCUCUCUAAACGAAUGUACAUACAAAUCGAUUUACUUUUAAAGUUAAACCAAUUUAUUUCUCUGUUCUUCCAAUAC
rnacentral:lncRNA from 1 species